UGAGGCAGGUUCCCAGUCUCAUUAACAGUGUAAAUAGCCCCAGUGGCUGCGUUGCAGCCAGGCAGCAGCACUCCACUGCUCUCCAGUUAUCGCAGGAAUUGUCAUAAAGGAACUCCAACUGCCUCUCAGUGCAAGAGUGGGACUAUCCCAGAACUAGACCCAAUUCCUCGUGGGGGAGUUAAAUGAGGAUUGGGCAUUCCUUGAGUUCCUGGGCAUGGAGAGCAGCAAAACAAAUAAGAACGUUCAGAGAACUUGAAGUCAGGUGCAGAAGAUCAGGCAUAUUCUGGAGUCCUCUGUCUGCCUCUGUGCUUCCAAAUAAAAUAAUCCUGUCACAGUAUUUCCCCUGUUGCUCUGCUCACAUAAGAGAAGCUCUUUGUAAACAUCUGCAAGCAUCCUGCUCCACAGCUCCCUUUGAGAUCUCCUGUGCUAGAAAGGCUGCAAAAACUUGACAAGAAGGAGACAGUGGGUGAUUUAGUAUCAGCACUGCCUCCCCUGCUGAGCAGGAUGUUCUCGGAGGCUUUGGUGAUCCCUUUGUUUUUCCUGUCUCCACCUGUUGUAUAUUGCAUGGGCUCUCAGGAGGAAAGAAGCCAUCUUUUCUUGUUGUUGUUAUUGGUUUAUUCGACAGCGGGGACAGCCAGCUUCUGAUCCCAUGGCUGUAGCUCCACGUAUUAUUCAAGUACAGCUAAAUAAAUAUGCACUGGGGAUAUUCGGGAAGGAAGCAUGUGGCUCUUGUAAAGCGUUCCCAGUCCCUCUUAGAAGUACUUGGAGACAUUUUCUUUAUGGCUGUUGUCAGAUGUGGAAGCAAAUGAGGA